CUGGCGAGAUAAUACCUUCUCUGCAGCCGCAUUACCCCGGGGACCGGCUAUUUUGGAAGUGGGAAGUGUGGGGUGAAGGGACCCGGGGUUCCUCCCUUCUACGUCCCCCUAGAGCCGGACCCUGCGCGCCCGAGAACCACGAGGGCCAGGGAGGCACCUCAGCGCCGGGGGUGGGGGCGUGGGGCCUGCGCGCCAGCUCUGCCAGACGUGCGGGGCGGCUCCACACGUGCCGCGGAGGCCGGGACAGGACUCUCCUCCCCACCCCCCAGCCUCGAGCUCAGAGAAGGAAGUCGAGGUUCAGAGUCCGACCUAGGCCUCAGUCAAGAGCUCGGACUCCCUGGGCGUUCGCCUCGCCUUGCCACUCACCGUGGAAGGCCGGGGGUCCCGGCAGCUCGCCCUGCCUUCACCCGGCCGUGUGUCCAGGCCUCGGGUUCUAGUUCCGUGAAAAGUAUCGGCCCUCCAGCCCUGGGAGCGGAGAAAGGGCCCUGUGCUGCGAAGCCGCUGGAAAGUAUAGGCGCUGCCCAGUCCUCCUCAAAGGCCCGUCUCAGGUCAGCGCUGGCACCUGGGCUGCGAGCUCCUCUUAAGCCGGGCUUCUGACCCUCCUUUGUUCCACGGACCCUUUGCCUGGCAAGGGAAAACCACGUACCCCUUACAAAGUCCACACUACACUGUGUUAUUCAAUAAAUAUAUCACUCCCGCACCAACCCGUA
rnacentral:lncRNA from 1 species